AUUGAACGCUGGCGGCAGGCCUAACACAUGCAAGUCGAACGAGUGGCGGACGGGUGAGUAAUGUCUGGGAACCUGCCUGAUGGAGGGGGAUAACUACUGGAAACGGUAGCUAAUACCGCAUACCAUUAGAUCGGCCCAUAUGGGAUUAGCUAGUGGGUGGGGUAACGGCUCACCAAGGCGACGAUCCCUAGCUGGUCUGAGAGGAUGACCAGCCACACUGGAACUGAGACACGGUCCAGACUCCUACGGGAGGCAGCAGUGGGGAAUAUUGGGCAAUGGGCGAAAGCCUGAUGGAGCAAUGCCGCGUGUGUGAAGAAGGCCUUCGGAUUGUAAAGUCCUGUCAGUAGGGAGGCGUUACCCAAAGAGAAAGCACCGGCUAACUCCGUGCCAGCCGCCGCGGUAAUUC
rnacentral:rRNA from 1 species